rnacentral:rRNA from 1 species
GACGAACGCUGGCGGCGUGCCUAAUACAUGCAAGUCGAACGAACCGCGACUAGGUGCUUGCACUUGGUCAAGGUGAGUGGCGAACGGGUGAGUAACACGUGGGUAACCUACCUCAUAGUGGGGGAUAACAGUCGGAAACGACUGCUAAUACCGCAUAGGACAUAGGAUCACAUGAUCCAGUGAGGAAAGGUGGCGCAAGCUAUCGCUAAGAGAUGGACCCGCGGUGCAUUAGCUAGUUGGUAGGGUAAAGGCCUACCAAGGCGAUGAUGCAUAGCCGACCUGAGAGGGUGAUCGGCCACAUUGGGACUGAGACACGGCCCAAACUCCUACGGGAGGCAGCAGUAGGGAAUCUUCCGCAAUGGACGCAAGUCUGACGGAGCAACGCCGCGUGAGUGAAGAAGGUCUUCGGAUCGUAAAGCUCUGCUGUUAGAGAAGAACAGCGCAUAGAGUAACUGUUAUGCGUGUGACGGUAUCUAACCAGAAAGCCACGGCUAACUACGUG